rnacentral:rRNA from 1 species
UACAGAGGCCUCAAGUGUUGUUCGGAAUUAUUGGGCGUAAAGAGUGAGUAGGCGGCAAGUCAAGUCAGCCACAAAAGUCAACCGCUCAACGGAUGAAGCGUGGCCGAAACUAGCAUGCUAGAGGUCUGAACAGGGUGCCAGAAUUCACAGUGUAGCAGUGAAAUGCGUAGAUAUUGUGAGGAAUACCAAUGGCGAAAGCAGGCACCCGGGAAGCGCCUGACGCUAAAUCACGAAGGCAAGGGUAGCGAACGGG